rnacentral:rRNA from 1 species
GACGAACGCUGGCGGCGUGCCUAACACAUGCAAGUUGAGCGACGAACCAGGGCUUGCCCUGGGGCAAAGCAGCGAACGGGUGAGUAACACGUGGGUAACCUACCCCGAUAACCGGGACAACCCGAGGAAACUCGGGCUAAUACCGGAUGUGCUCACUGGACUUCGGUUCAGUGCGUAAAGGAAGCUUCGGCCUCCGUAUCGGGAGGGGCCCGCGGCCGAUUCGUUUGUUGGUGAGGUAACGGCUCACCAAGACCGCGAUGGGUACCUGGUCUGCGGGGACGAUCAGCCAAACUGGGACUGAGACACGGCCCAGACUCCUACGGGAGGCAGCAGUGGGGAAUCUUGCGCAAUGCGCGGAAGCGUGACGCAGCAACGCCGCGUGGGGGAAGAAGGCCUUCGGGUUGGAAACCCCUUUCAGGAGGGACGAAGGUUCGGCGGUGAAUAGCCGUCCGGACUGACGGUACCUCCACAAGAAGCCCCGGCUAACUACGUG